rnacentral:rRNA from 1 species
UUAAUUAGAGAUUUCUGGUCUGACUCAGAUGAGCGUGCAGGCUAUCCUAGCCAUUCAGUCGUACGCAGUUCAGGUGCUGCACUGGUGCGGACUGGCGAACCGGUUGAGUACUACAUCGGAACGUCCGAUGUAGGUGGGGGAAUACCUCGGCGAAGCUAGAAUUAAUACCGCAUACGUCUCCUGAGGACGAAAGCAGGGGGACCUUUCAGGCCUUCGUGCAUACAAGAGCGCCCAGAUAUCAGAUGAGUUAUGUUGGUGGGGUAAGAGUCUCACCAAGGCGACGAUCUGUAGCUGUUCUGAGAGGACGACCACCCACACUGGGAGUGAGACACGUCCCAGACUCUUGCGGGAGGCAGCAGUGGGGAAUUUUGGACAAUGGGGGAAACCGUGAUCCAGCAAUCCCGCGUGUGUGAAGAAGCCUUUGGGGUUGUAAAGCACUUUUGUCCGGAGAGAAAUCGUGUGGGUUAAUACCUCGUGAGGAUGCCGGUCUCGCAAGAAUAACCCCCGGUUAAUUACGUCCCACCACCCGCGUAAAUACGUAGGGUCCAAGCGUUAUUGGGAAUUAUUGGGCGUAAAGCGUGCGCAGGCGGUUUUUAAAUCCGGAUGUAAAUUCCCGGGGUUCACCCUGGGAAUUGCAUUGGUGACUGCAAGGUUAGAGUAUGUCAGAGGGGGGUAGAUUUCCGCGUGUAGCAGUGAAAUGGGUAGAGAUGGGGGGGAAUCCCGAUGGGGAAGGCAGCCCCCGGGGGCAAUACUGACGUUCAUGCAGGAAAGCGUGGGGAGCAAACAGGAUUAGAUACCCUGGUAGUCCACGCCCUAAACGAGUCAACUAGUUGUUGGGGCAUUCAUUUCCUUAGUAACGUAGCUAACGCGUGAAGUGACCGCAUGGAGUCU